AGCCGGAACGGAUUCUACAAACAGAUGAAGAAGAGAAAACAACUUCAACAGUGUAAACGAUAGGAAAUAAACCUUAUGGAAGAACUUGGUACGCCAAAGCAAACUAUAUGAAGCCUCAGUCCGCUUCUUUUACACUCAGGUAUAAUCCGUAAACAAGUCGCAAAACGCUCCGAAAAAAAACUUCAGAGGAAGCAAACUUCAACAGAAUUAAAGAACCACCCAAAUCACCUGAAAGCUUUCAGUUUCCACGUCUAAAC